UACGUAGGUGGCAAGCGUUGUCCGGAUUAUUGGGCGUAAAGCGCGCGCAGGCGGUUCGAAAAGUCCAUGGUGAAGCGCCUGGCUCAACUGGGCGAGUGCCGUGGGGACUGUCGAGCUGGAGGGAAGCAGAGGCGGAGUGGAAUUCCGGGUGUAGUGGUGAAAUGCGUAGAGAUCCGGAGGAACACCAGUGGCGAAGGCGGCU
rnacentral:rRNA from 1 species